rnacentral:rRNA from 1 species
CAGACUGCUGGGCGGAUUAGUGGCGAACGGGUGAGUAACACGUGAGCAACCUGCCCCUGACUCUGGGAUAAGCGCUGGAAACGGCGUCUAAUACUGGAUAUGUCCCGUCACCGCAUGGUGUGCGGGUGGAAAGAUUUUUCGGUUGGGGAUGGGCUCGCGGCCUAUCAGCUUGUUGGUGAGGUAAUGGCUCACCAAGGCGUCGACGGGUAGCCGGCCUGAGAGGGUGACCGGCCACACUGGGACUGAGACACGGCCCAGACUCCUACGGGAGGCAGCAGUGGGGAAUAUUGCACAAUGGGCGGAAGCCUGAUGCAGCAACGCCGCGUGAGGGAUGACGGCCUUCGGGUUGUAAACCUCUUUUAUCAGGGAAGAAGCGAAAGUGACGGUACCUGCAGAAAAAGCACCGGCUAACUACGUGCCAGCAGCCGCGGUAAUACGUAGGGUGCAAAGCGUUAUCCGGAAUUAUUGGGCGUAAAGAGCUCGUAAGCGGUCUGUCGCGUCUGCUGUGAAAUUCCGAGGCUCAACCUCGGGCUUUGCAGUGGGUACGGGCAGACUACAUUGCGGUAGGGGAAAAUUG